rnacentral:rRNA from 1 species
CACCAGACUCCUACGGGAGGCAGCAGUGGGGAAUAUUGCACAAUGGGGGAAACCCUGAUGCAGCAACGCCGCGUGAGUGAAGAAGUAUUUCGGUAUGUAAAGCUCUAUCAGCAGGGAAGAAGAUGACGGUACCUGACCAAGAAGCCCCGGCUAACUACGUGCCAGCAGCCGCGGUAAUACGUAGGGGGCAAGCGUUAUCCGGAUUUACUGGGUGUAAAGGGAGCGCAGACGGCAGUGCAAGUCUGGAGUGAAAGCCCGGGGCCCAACCCCGGAACUGCUCUGGAAACUGUGCGGCUAGAGUACUGGAGGGGCAGGCGGAAUUCCUGGUGUAGCGGUGAAAUGCGUAGAUAUCAGGAGGAACACUGGUGGCGAAGGCGGCCUGCUGGACGACGACUGACGUUGAGGCUCGAGAGCGUGGGGAGCGAACAGGAUUAGAUACCCCGGUAAA